GACGAACGCUGGCGGCGUGCUUAACACAUGCAAGUCGAACGGAAAGGCCCUGCUUUUGUGGGGUGCUCGAGUGGCGAACGGGUGAGUAACACGUGAGUAACCUGCCCUUGACUUUGGGAUAACUUCAGGAAACUGGGGCUAAUACCGGAUAGGAGCUCCUGCUGCAUGGUGGGGGUUGGAAAGUUUCGGCGGUUGGGGAUGGACUCGCGGCUUAUCAGCUUGUUGGUGGGGUAGUGGCUUACCAAGGCUUUGACGGGUAGCCGGCCUGAGAGGGUGACCGGCCACAUUGGGACUGAGAUACGGCCCAGACGCCUACGGGAGGCAGCAGGGGGGAAUAUUGCACAAUGGGCGGAAGCCUGAUGCAGCAACGCCGCGUGCGGGAUGACGGCCUUCGGGUUGUAAACCGCUUUCGCCUGUGACGAAGAGUGAGUGACGGUAAUGGGUAAAGAAGCACCGGCUAACUACGUG
rnacentral:rRNA from 1 species